rnacentral:rRNA from 1 species
UACGUAGGGUGCGAGCGUUGUCCGGAAUUACUGGGCGUAAAGAGCUCGUAGGCGGUUUGUCGCGUCGUCCGUGAAAACUUGGGGCUCAACCUCAAGCUUGCGGGCGAUACGGGCAGACUUGAGUACUGCAGGGGAGACUGGAAUUCCUGGUGUAGCGGUGAAAUGCGCAGAUAUCAGGAGGAACACCGGUGGCGAAGGCGGGUCUCUGGGCCGAUACUGACGCUGAGGAGCGAAAGCGUGGGGAGCGAACAGG